GCCGGGUGUGGUGGUGCGUGCCUGUAAUCCCAGCUACUCAGGAGGCUGAGGCAGGAGAAUUGCUUGAACCCAGGAGGCAGAGGUUGCAGUGAGCCAAGAUCAUGCCACUGCACUCCAGCCUGGGUGACAGAGCAAGAGUCUGUCUCAA
rnacentral:SRP_RNA from 1 species